UAAAUUUUAAAAAUUAUUUACAUGGUGAUCAAAGUGUCAUAAAAUCGAUAAUUUUUGACGGCCUAUAUGAGCCGUUUGCUUGUUUAACGGUGUAGAGCAAUCCAAAUGCUUGAAUUUUUGACAGAAAAUUCUUUAUACUAUUUAGGUAAUGUUUGAUAACUCUUAUUAUGAAUUGAAAAAGUCUAACCUCUGUUUUAAGAAGGUUAUUCAUUUAUGACCGUUCAUUUUUCAACUUUUCGAUGAACUUGAUAAUGAUUUUUAAAUAUUACAAAACUUGGUUUCUAAAUAUUACUAAUUGUGUAGAUCAAUUUCAACGGUGCCGAUUAUCAAUUUGAAGUUCCGAUCAUUUAAAACGGCUUGAUAGGACAAUGUCCUCAAUCCUAUUAAUAGGAUAGUAGAUGAACUAUAUAUUUAUAUAUGAAUUAGGCUGGAAUACUAGUAAUAGUAAAACGUUCUUUUUGCUAUCAAGUUUUUAACCCUUGGAUGAAAAAUUGUAGGGUUAGGAUGAUAUUAGUCAGUUAAAGUUGAGUGGUACCACUAGAGUUGAGUGGUCCCCACAGGGUUAUAGUAUUUAAUCCAAUUGUUAGAAAUAAUAAAAAGAGUUGAUCCAAAUGCUAAAAAAUUGGUAGCAACAAUAAAAUUUUGCUACUAAUAGUAGCCUAGACAUUGCCAUCUCUUAAAUUGGCAUAUCUGGAAUUUUUCGACCACAUAAAAUUGUAAAAUGUGUCUUGAAGGGGAAUUUUUCUUGCAAGUGAUUGUAUUUUGCUGCAGUAAUAUUCAUCAUUUAUUAAUAAUGAAUGCCCAUGGACCACGGGCUUCUAUUUUUAAAAAAAAUACUAAAAUAUAUGAAACCUAGCUAAACUAUAAACCUUUUCGAAUUAAUUACACAAUCUUUCAAAAUUUUAAUAUUAUUUCAAACAUUUCAAAGUUUUUAAUUUGAUAUCUUAAGAAGCCAAACAUGAGCUUGAACCAAUUGGCUCAUGUUCCGGCUCAAUAUAGUGCACAUACGUAUAUUUCAUGCUUAUAAGUUAGUUUGUCUACAAAAUGAUUUAUUUGUAGAUUGAAUUUUGAUUUAGUUAAUUUCUGUAAGUUGUUAUCUCAUGUUAAAGUAAAUUUUCAUGCAAAACUGAUAAAAUUUUAAAUUAAUUAAUCUAAAAUUUAAAUAUUUAGUUGCAAACAAUUUUAAUUAUAUAUGAGCACUACAACAGAAUUAGGUUAUAGGGACACAAGUUUGGGACACUUUUGAAUAAGUGUCCCAUUUAUACUAAAAUUUAAAAAAACAUCUACUAAUGCCUAAAUAUAAAGCCCAAUCCAACCAAAAAUAAAAGAUUAUUCUACUCAACUCACCACACCCAGUCCAUUUGGCCCGAUUACAAACAGAAAAGAAAAAAAAAAAAAGAAAAAUCAAUUACCAUCUUUUCUUCUCUCUUCACUCAAUCCACUGAAAUUCUAAAUGAAGAGCCUUCCCUGUCGUCCUCUCCACUACCUCAGCCGACGAGAUAAAAUUUCGACGGUUGCUAAAUGCUUAAAUAAGUUUUGAUAAAUUAACAGCACUCUUUUAGGUUAUAGCGACACUCUUUAACUGUCACUAUAUACCUAGCGACCCCACAUAUAGCAACACUUUUUAAAAGUGUCGGUAAUUUUAGCUAGCAGCACUUUUUUGACAUGUACCUACAUUUAAAAGUGUCGCUAUAGAUCGUUUUUGUUGUAGUGGAGCUAGCUUGGUAAACCNUUGACAUGUACCUACAUUUAAAAGUGUCGCUAUAGAUCGUUUUUGUUGUAGUGGAGCUAGCUUGGUAAACCAACC
rnacentral:lncRNA from 1 species